rnacentral:rRNA from 1 species
AUUGAACGCUAGCGGGAUGCUUUACACAUGCAAGUCGAACGAGUGGCGGACGGGUGAGUAAUAUCUCGGAACGUGCCCAGUAGAGGGGGAUAACUACUCGAAACGGUGGCUAAUACCGCAUACCAUCGGAGCGGCCGAUAUCGGAUUAGCUAGUUGGUGGGGUAAAGGCUCACCAAGGCAACGAUCCGUAGCUGGUUUGAGAGGACGACCAGCCACACGGGAACGGAGAAACGGCCCAGACUCCUACGGGAGGCAGCAGUGGGGAAUAUUGGACAAUGGGGGAAAGCCUGAUCCAGCCAUCCCGCGUGUAUGAGAAGGCCCUAGGGUUGUAAAGUACUUUCAGGCGGGAGGCGUUACCGACAGAAGAAGCACCGGCUAACUCCGUGCCAGCAGCCGCGGUAAUUC